CUCUCUCAUCUCUCUUUCUCUCUGUGUCUCUCUCUCUCUAGCUUCCCUUUUGGAGAAACUAUGUUUAAUGAUUAUGUACUUAGAAAGAGCAUAGAGUACUAGGGGAAGAGGAGGAGGCACUGGUGAUGUUGUUGACAGAAGAUAGAGAGCACAGAUGAUGGUAUGCAUGGAUCAGUUUGCAUCUCACUCCUUUGUGCUCUCUACGCUUCUGUCAUCACCUUCAGCCCCUCAUCCCCGGCCUUCCCACUUUCCUUUCCCCCACUACUUUAAUUCUUAAUUAUUACUAUCUCUUCUUUAUUAAUCUUCUAUAUCUAUUGCUAUAACACUCUAAUCAUUAACUCGCCUUUACUUUGUUUCAUGCCUUCUCAUACCUAUAUAUUUAUCUCCUUCUUCUUUAUAACAUUCGUUUUGUAAAUUAAUUAUAACUGUUUUCAAAGCUGUGCUGACCUAUAGUUGCUUCUUUUAUGUUUUGCAGAAUCAAGCCGAAGAAGCAGAUAGCAGUAUUGAAGAUGAUUCAGGUUGCUUAUGAUUGAUGAAUAUUAGAGGUCUAAUUGAUCAGCAUCAUGUCUGUUCUUUCUGAUAAGGCCAGUACUGGAUCAAUUGCAUGAAGGAAUCGCCCAUGGGUUUAUUCAUGCGUAAUUCUUCAUAUGAAGAUUGGCCCCAUUAAUGAUGGAAACCGAAUACAGCAUUCUGAUUCUAUGCUGAUCAGAUAGUUAUGCAUUAAUUUUAAAGUGAUUCCGAAAGGAAAGGCAGCUAGCACAACUUGCUUUGUUGGAGAAGGCUCAUCAUCCAGUCCAGCUACUUCGCAUAUUGAUCAUGUACUCAUGGAUAAGAGAUUGGGUCUACCUGACCUGCAUGUAGGGCAAGUAGGUCCUGAUCAUUCAAGAUCCAUCUAGAAUUAAUGUAAUUCUGCAAGUUGCUAACUUGCUGGAAGCUUUUCAUGCUUCUUCAUAUAUGUAAGAACAAGUUGCAUCUAAUUCCAUUCAAAGAGGCCAAGAUAAUUGAGCCGAAAUUUGGUCAUAUUUAGAUUAUAA